rnacentral:rRNA from 1 species
AGUGGCAGACGGGUGAGUAACAUGUGGGUAUCUACCCUUUGGCCUGGAAUAACACGAGGAAACUUGUGCUAAUACCGGAUAAGUCUUUACGGAGAAAGCUUUAUGCACCAUUGGAGGAGCCCGCACUUGAUUAGUUUGUUGGUAGGGUAAUGGCCUACCAAGACUAUGAUCAAUAGCUGAUUUGAGAGGAUGAUCAGCCACAUUGGGACUGAGACACGGCCCUAACUCCUACGGGAGGCAGCAGUGGAGAAUCUUGCACAAUGGAGGAAACUCUGAUGCAGCGAUGCCGCGUGAGUGAAGAAGGCCUUUGGGUUGUAAAGCUCUUUCGUCGGGGAAGAAAAUGACUGUACCCGAAUAAGAAGGUCCGGCUAACUUCGUGCCAGCAGCCGCGGUAAUACGAAGGGACCUAGCGUAGUUCGGAAUUACUGGGCUUAAAGAGUUCGUAGGUGGUUGAAAUAGUUGGUGGUGAAAUCCCAGAGCUUAACUCUGGAACUGCCAUCAAAACUUUUCAGCUAGAGUAUGAUAGAGGAAAGCAGAAUUUCUAGUGUAGAGGUGAAAUUCGUAGAUAUUAGAAAGAAUACCAACUGCGAAGGCAGCUUUCUGGAUCAUUACUGACACUGAGGAACGAAAGCAUGGGUAGCGAAGAGGAUUAGAUACCCUCGUAGUCCAUGCCGA